rnacentral:rRNA from 1 species
UGGCGAACGGGUGAGUAACACGUGAGCAACCUGCCCCUGACUCUGGGAUAACCCGGGAAACCGGAGCUAAUACCGGAUAUGACACUUUCGGGCAUCCGAGGGUGUGGAAAGAUUUAUCGGUUGGGGAUGGGCUCGCGGCCUAUCAGCUUGUUGGUGGGGUGAUGGCCUACCAAGGCGACGACGGGUAGCCGGCCUGAGAGGGCGACCGGCCACACUGGGACUGAGACACGGCCCAG